rnacentral:rRNA from 1 species
UACGAUCUACGGAUGAAAGCGGGGGAUCGCAAGACCUCGCGCGAUUGGAGCGGCCGAUGGCAGAUUAGGUAGUUGGUGGGGUAAAGGCUCACCAAGCCUGCGAUCUGUAGCUGGUCUGAGAGGACGACCAGCCACACUGGGACUGAGACACGGCCCAGACUCCUACGGGAGGCAGCAGUGGGGAAUUUUGGACAAUGGGCGCAAGCCUGAUCCAGCCAUUCCGCGUGCAGGAUGAAGGCCUUCGGGUUGUAAACUGCUUUUGUACGGAACGAAAAGGCUCCUUCUAAUACAGGGGGCUCAUGACGGUACCGUAAGAAUAAGCACCGGCUAACUACGUGCCGGCAGCCGCGGUAAUACGUAGGGUGCGAGCGUUAAUCGGAAUUACUGGGCGUAAAGCGUGCGCAGGCGGUGAUGUAAGACAGAUGUGAAAUCCCCGGGCUCAACCUGGGAACUGCAUUUGUGACUGCAUCGCUGGAGUGCGGCAGAGGGGGAUGGAAUUCCGCGUGUAGCAGUGAAAUGCGUAGAUAUGCGGAGGAACACCGAUGGCGAAGCAAUCCCCUGGGCCUGCACUGACGCUCAUGCACGAAAGCGUGGGGAGCAAACAGGAUUAGAUACCCUGGUAGUCCACGCCCUAAACGAUGUCAACUGGUUGUUGGUCCUUCGCUGGAUCAGUAACGAAGCUAACGCGUGAAGUUGACCGCCUGGGGGAGUACGGCCGCAAGGUUGAAACUCAAGAAUUGAGGGGACCCGCACAAGCGGUGGAUGAUGUGGUUUAAUUCGAUGCACGCGAAAACUUACCACCUUUGACAUGUAAUUCCGCAAAUGUGUGCUCAGAACGUAGCUGCAUGCGUCAGCUCUGUGGUCCCCUUGUCUUCUCAACAGUGCGG